rnacentral:rRNA from 1 species
GCAAGGCAACGGGCUUCGAGCUCGACUCUCCCACCCUUUGUGAACGUACCUCUGUUGCUUUGGCGGCUCCGGCCGCCAAAGGACCUCCAAACUCCAGUCAGUAAACGCAGACGUCUGAUAAACAAGUUAAUAAACUAAAACUUUCAACAACGGAUCUCUUGGUUCUGGCAUCGAUGAAGAACGCAGCGAAAUGCGAUAAGUAAUGUGAAUUGCAGAAUUCAGUGAAUCAUCGAAUCUUUGAACGCACAUUGCGCCCCUUGGUAUUCCGGGGGGCAUGCCUGUUCGAGCGUCAUUACAACCCUCAAGCUCUGCUUGGAAUUGGGCACCGUCCUCACUGCGGACGCGCCUCAAAGACCUCGGCGGUGGCUGUUCAGCCCUCAAGCGUAGUAGAAUACACCUCGCUUUGGAGUGGUUGGCGUCGCCCGCCGGACGAACCUUCUGAACUUUUCUCAAGGUUGACCUCGGAUCAGGUAGGGAUACCCGCUGAACUUAAGCAUAUCAAUAAGCGGAGGAAACAGUCUUCUACACAAC